ACAGUGUGGUGUGAGAUGACUUCUACUGGGCCAACGUGAUCAUCUAAGAUAGAUCCUCCUUUACCGAACCCUGUGAUGAAUGACUGCUGCUCUUAACGGUGCAAACUCAGAGGUUGAGAGAAAAGAGCACAGUUUCAUCUUCGGCUGGUUGCACCGGCCUUGACAUGCCAUAACACUCCCCACGCUACACACUACACAAGCCUGGGUGUGUUUGCAUGAGUGUGUCAGUGUCUCACUUCAGCACACCCUGAGAGUCCUUGCCUGGAGACCUUGAGUGCAAAAACGCAGGGGGGCCCCCCUCUUCUGGGAGAGAGAAAGAGAGCAAAAACAAAAAAAAAAAACCCAAAAAAAAAAACCCUGAACAGAUAAGAAACUUGUCCACCGGCAGGAACGAGCUGUCCUGAACGUUUCCCCUCUUCCUCGCUGUGCCUCUGACGUCUACAGCGGGUGCCAGAUAGGAGAUAACAACCGCAACAAGUUGGCUGUUAACUAGAGUGAUUUGGACAUAACAGACAAUGAACUUUACGUAAGCAUCCGAGAUUUGUGUAUCAGUGUAGUGAAGUGAACAGUUUUUGUUUUUUUUUUUUUUCUCCAGAGGCAUCUGUGGUGUCCGCAGGUGUGUCGCCAUGGCUUGAAACCAAGAAGGGAGGAUAAGUGCUGAGUGAGCACAGACAACAGCUACUUUGUCUUUCUCUAACAUCUUCAAGGUCCCUGUGGACGGAUAAAUGGCCAAGAGGAGGUGUGUUCCCAGCAGAGACUCAUCUGGAGCUUUACACGGCUCCAGCGUGCAGCGACAGGGCAGCACGGCUCUUUGCACUCGCUGUUCCUUUUUCCUAUGCAUAUACCUCUUUCAGAUGUAACUUUAAAGAGGCAUAGGGCAUGGGAAAAUGGGGCUGCAGAGGUAUUCCACCAGGCAGACAGCCAUUUCAUCAUCCUCUCCGCAUGACAGCUGACCUCAAAGAGCGCACACACACACACACACACACACACACACCCCGGGCUCCAGCCUGCCAUGGACUUACUGUAUAGAGGAAGACUGCAAAGCGCACAUUCUGACACACUGACCACGGGUGAUUUUUGUGUAUCUGUGAUUCGUUUUUUUUUUCUUUUUUUUAUGUAAUAUCAUAACUCAAAUUUCAUCAUAUUCAUUCAUGAUGACAUUGUGUGUGUGGAGUGAGGUGUUAUUGCAUUCUUGCUACAUUAUUGUUGUAUCGUUUCAAACACCUGUUUGCCUCUGAAUCAUUUGUUUGCUGUUGUUUUUGAAUAAAGACGUCUUGGCAUUAAA